AGUGAACGCUGGCGGUAGGCCUAACACAUGCAAGUCGAACGGCAGCACAUUAAGAGCUUGCUCUUGCGGGUGGCGAUUGGCGGUCGGGUGAGGAAUACAUCGGAAUCUCCUUUUUCGUGGGGGAUAACGUAGGGGAACUUACGCUAAUACCGCAUACGACCUCCGGUUGACAUCAGGGGCUCUUCGUACCUUGCUCGAUUGAAUGUGCCGAUGUGGGAUUAGCUAGUUGGGGGGGGAAAGGGCCACCAAGGCGACGAUCCGUAGCUGGUCUGAGAGGAUGAUCAGCCACACUGGAACUGAGACACGGUCCAGACUCCUACGGGAGGCAGCAGUGGGGAAUAUUGGACAAUGGGCGAAAGCCUGAUCCAGCAAUACCGCGUGGGUGAAGAAGGCCUUCGGGUUGUAAAGCCCCUUUGUUGGGAAAGAAAAGCAGCAGGUUAAUACCCCGCUGUUCUGACGGUACCCAAAGAAUAAGCACCGGCUAACUUCGUG
rnacentral:rRNA from 1 species